GGAUGGGCAAGAAAUGCUGGCCUGGCCAGUGACGCUCACAUCCCAACCUUAACCAACUGGACUUCCCAGCCUACGAGAGCUACGAGAAACUGCGUCACAUGUUGCUGCUCGCCAUCCAGGAGUGUUCGGAGGGAUUUGGCCUUGCCUGAAGCUGUACAAACCAAGGAAGGACGGAACGAACAAUCGGAAGACAAUUGAGAAACAAAAGGCAGUACCCAAAAGGGGAGACUGUAAAACGUGCAUAACUUGCUCUCCUCGGACUGACCUAGUAGACUUGCUUUGAAAACCAUGUUACAGAAAGGCAACUGCCUGUGCCCGAGUGGGUUUCUGGAGUGAGAGAUUCGCACAGGAGGAAAAAUAUACUGACCUUGGGAAAAAAAAAAUUUCUUUCAUUUUCCCCAUCCUCCUCCUCCUCCCCCCUGUUAGGUUGCAUCAUUGUGUGUGUGUGUGUGUGUGUGUGUGUGUGUGUGCGCGUGUGUAUGUGCGCGCACAAGUGUCUGCGCACACACGCCCUUGGGUUGUCUUGACUUGCACAUUGGAGGGGGAAAGGAGGAAUUUUUUUUUUUUAAAAAGGAGAGAAUUCCGACAUGGAAAUAAUUGGCUCCAGUGUCACUAGCUCAGUAACGGAUACCACUUGUUGCGAUGUCACUUUUCACUAUGCUGUUUGUCUCGUUCUUUUGUUUAUCUCUGAAUCCAUGCAAAUAUUGAAGAUGUAAAUAAAUAUUACAAAGUUUUUGAUCCACAGACGGCCCUAUUCAGCAGUGGAGCAGUGACCUGCCGGCAAGAGGUCAAGGGUUAUAUUUUUGAAUCAUGGCAAGGCCUUAGCUUUGAACCGGAUCCCCAUUUAAUCGGACGAUGACACACAAGGUGCGACACAAAUUAAACAUUGUGACGCGGGUAGGUGGGGUGGGGUGGGAGGGGGAGGAACAGAGGGGUGAGGAAGAAAGCUUAAAGUUGUAAAAUAUGUGCAAAAAAAAAAGUCAUUAGCCAAGUUCAUGCUUUUUUUCAUGUUUAUUCAUUUGAGAUUUUUUGGAAAAUUCUGGAAUAAAUAAAAAGCUGGUUUGAUUCACUUCAACAUUUGAAUGUUUAAAAAGGAGAGAGAGAAAAGAAAAGAGGAACGACAGGUUCUGAUCUCAGAAUUUCAAAGGCCACCUCUGUCCUUUUUUUUUUGCCUGUCUCGAUAUCCAAGUGUGUGAGAGGGAGGGAGGGGGUUCUGUUAUGGCCAUUAGUACUUUGAACAAAGGAGAAAAAUAUACAAAGAAGAUUCAUUAAAGGUUUAGUUUGAAAAA